rnacentral:rRNA from 1 species
AUUGAACGCUGGCGGCAUGCUUUACACAUGCAAGUCGAACGGCAGCGCGGGCUUCGGCCUGGCGGCGAGUGGCGAACGGGUGAGUAAUGCAUCGGAACGUGCCCAGUAGUGGGGGAUAGCCCGGCGAAAGCCGGAUUAAUACCGCAUACGACCUGGGGGUGAAAGCGGGGGACCGAAAGGCCUCGCGCUAUUGGAGCGGCCGAUGUCGGAUUAGCUAGUUGGUGGGGUAAAGGCUUACCAAGGCGACGAUCCGUAGCUGGUCUGAGAGGACGACCAGCCACACUGGGACUGAGACACGGCCCAGACUCCUACGGGAGGCAGCAGUGGGGAAUUUUGGACAAAGGGGGCAACCCUGAUCCAGCCAUGCCGCGUGCGGGAAGAAGGCCUUCGGGUUGUAAACCGCUUUUGUUCGGGAAGAAAUCCUCUGGGCUAAUACCCCGGGGGGAUGACGGUACCGGAAGAAUAAGCACCGGCUAACUACGUG